rnacentral:rRNA from 1 species
UCGACCGGCGCACGGGUGAGUAACGCGUAUCCAACCUGCCCAUGUCUGGGGAAUAACCCGUCGGAAGGCGGACUAACUCCCCAUGGUCUCCGAUGAGGACAUCUGAAUUGGAGUAAAGCUUCGCGGACAUGGAUGGGGAUGCGUCUGAUUAGGUAGUAGGCGGGGUAACGGCCCACCUAGCCUACGAUCAGUAGGGGUUCUGAGAGGAAGGUCCCCCACAUUGGAACUGAGACACGGUCCAAACUCCUACGGGAGGCAGCAGUGAGGAAUAUUGGUCAAUGGACGCGAGUCUGAACCAGCCAAGUAGCGUGCAGGAUGACGGCCCUAUGGGUUGUAAACUGCUUUUGCGCGGGGAUAACACCCUCCACGUGCUGGAGGUCUGCAGGUACCGCGCGAAUAAGGACCGGCUAAUUCCGUGCCAGCAGCCGCGGUAAUACGGAAGGUCCGGGCGUUAUCCGGAUUUAUUGGGUUUAAAGGGAGCGUAGGCCGUGAGGUAAGCGUGUUGUGAAAUGUAGGCGCCCAACGUCUGCACUGCAGCGCGAACUGCCCCACUUGAGUGCGCGCAACGCCGGCGGAACUCGUCGUGUAGCGGUGAAAUGCUUAGAUAUGACGAAGAACCCCGA